AUGCAUACUUUGCAUGAUAACAAUACUUUACCCUGGUUGUUGAUAGGGGACCUGAAUAAAAUUCAGUUUUUGCAAGAGAAGGAGGGAGGAAACCCACGUCCACAACAAUAUAUGAUGGCCUUUCAGCAUGCCAUAGAUGAUUGUGAGGUGCACGAUAUGGGUUACACUGGAGAUUUUUUUACUUGGCAUCAAGGGGGAAUAAGGGAAAGAUUGGAUAGAGGCUUGAAAAAUGAUGAAUGGGCCACUUUAUUUCCAAGUGCAAGCUUGGAACAUAUGAAUUAUACCAUUCUGACCACCGGCUCUUACUAG
rnacentral:rRNA from 1 species